rnacentral:rRNA from 1 species
CCUACGGGAGGCAGCAGUGGGGAAUAUUGCACAAUGGGCGAAAGCCUGAUGCAGCAACGCCGCGUGAGCGAUGAAGUCCUUCGUGUUGUAAAGCUCUGUCCUCAAGGAAGAUAAUGACGGUACUUGAGGAAGAAGCCCCGGCUAACUACGUGCCAGCAGCCGCGGUAAUACGUAGGGGGCUAGCGUUAUCCGGAAUUACUGGGCGUAAAGGGUGCGUAGGUGGAUUGUUAAGUCAGAGGUGAAAGGGUACGGCUCAACCGUAGUACGCCUUUGAAACUGGCGAACUUGAGUGCAGGAGAGGAGAGUGGAAUUCCUAGUGUAGCGGUGAAAUGCGUAGAUAUUAGGAGGAACACCAGUUGCGAAGGCGGCUCACUGGACUGUAACUGACGCUGAGGCACGAAAGCGUGGGGAGCAAACAGGAUUAGAUACCCCUGUAGUC